rnacentral:tRNA from 1 species
UGGGCAGUAGCUCGGUGGUAGAGCUCCCGCUCCAUAUGCGGGAAGAGCUGGAUUCGAUUCCCGGCUGCUUUC